CCGGCGGGCAGAAAGCAUCGGCUCGGAGCGGCCGGGAGGAGGUAGCGGUGCCAGGGCAGCGAGCAGGAGGCAGUGAUGGUCGGGAGAGAGUAAAAUGACAAGAAAGAAAAAGAGCUCAGUGUUCUCAGAAAAACUGAGUAUCAGCAAUCAACACUCAUGUGUCCAAAUAACAAAAUAACACUGUAAUUCUAGAUCGUGUUAACAUUAUCUAUUUACUUAUUGACAUCAACAGCAAAGCUUUGAUUAUGUUUCAUAUCAACAUGGCCUUGAAAUAUAACACAUAUUACCAGUAUUAUAAUGCAUUUGAAAUUAAGACUUUAUACUUUCUCAAAUUUCUUUAUAGAACUCUCUUAUUUCUCAGCUGAUCUUUUCAGCCUCUUUACAUUCUGAGGCAAAAUGGAAAUAACAUUGCAAGUAUAUUCUACUAAGAUUUAGCAGAAAAACAUUUUUUAAAGUAGAAAGGAAAAAAAAAACAUAACCAGAAAAUGGUUAACAUGAAAUAAUCUGAGGUGAUUUUUACUCUUACAUCAUAAAUUUCUGUUUCAUAGAAAUGGUUUUUUGCUAUGUUUAAUGGGUCUUAAGCCCUUGAGUCACAGGAUCUAAAACAGAUAUUCAGAAUUGUUUUUAUCAACUACUACUGCACUAUGUACUUAAACACUAAGUAACUGCUUAAGUAGUUGGAAAUUUCCUGAACCAACAGAAAUAUUUAUACAAGAAACAGACAUCACCACACUCAUCACUGUUUGUUUUCAUACACAAACACAACUUCGGCUCUGCAUUUCUGUAACAAACUCCGUUUAGCUUUGCAGACUGUUGGCAAUGACAGCAAAUCUCUGUUUCAGCUUCUCCCUUUUCUGCUUUAAGUGAUUUUCUAUGGCUCUGGCUUCUUUUAAGAUCUCAUCAAGUUCCUGGACAUAAGAAGAAUCCAACGCUAUUCUUGCACUAAAGUGAAGAAAUCCGUAGUUAAAAUCAAUGCUAAUGCCAUUAAGUAUCUCACUACUUUUAUGUUUUUCUUAAAAACGGGUUGUCUAUCAAUACCCAGUUUCUGACCAAAUUAAUCCUCUGUUGUAAUAAAAACUCUGUUGUAAUAAAACCAUUUUUCUUUCAA